rnacentral:rRNA from 1 species
GACGAACGCUGGCGGCGUGCCUAAUACAUGCAAGUCGAACGAACCGCGACUGAGUGCUUGCACUUGGUCAAGGUGAGUGGCGAGCGGGUGAGUAACACGUGGGUAACCUACCUCAUAGUGGGGUAUAACAGGCGGAAACUACUGCUAAUACCGCAUAGGACAUGGAAUCACAGGAUUCUGUGGUGAAAGUGGUCGCAAGCUAUCGCGAAGAGAUGGACCCGCGGUGCGUUAGCUGGUUGGUAGGGUAAUUGCCUACCAAGGCGGUGAUGCAGAGCCGACGUGAGAGGGUGAUCGCCUACAUUGGGACUGAGACAGGGCCCACACUCCUGCGGGAGGCAGCAGUAGGGAAUCUUCCGCAAUGGACGCAAGUCUGACAGAGCAACGCCGCGUGAGUGAAGAAGGUCUUCGGAUCGUAAAGCUCUGUUGUUAGUGGAGAACAGCGCAUAGAUUAACUGUUAUGCGUGUGACGGUAUCUAGAGAGAAAGCAACGGCUAACUACGUG